GAUGAGCGCUGGCGGCGUGCCUAAUACAUGCAAGUCGAGCGAACGGAUAAGGAGCUUGCUCCUUUGAAGUUAGCGGCGGACGGGUGAGUAACACGUGGGUAACCUACCUAUAAGACUGGAAUAACUUCGGGAAACCGGAGCUAAUGCCGGAUAACAUUUGGAACUGCAUGGUUCUAAAGUAAAAGAUGGUUUUGCUAUCACUUAUAGAUGGACCCGCGCCGUAUUAGCUAGUUGGUAAGGUAACGGCUUACCAAGGCAACGAUACGUAGCCGACCUGAGAGGGUGAUCGGCCACACUGGAACUGAGGCACGGUCCAGACUCCUACGGGAGGCAGCAGUAGGGAAUCUUCCGCAAUGGACGAAAGACUGACGGAGCAACGCCGCGUGAGUGAUGAAGGUUUUCGGAUCGUAAAACUCUGUUAUUAGGGAAGAACAAAUGUGUAAGUAACUGUGCACAUCUUGACGGUACCUAAUCAGAAAGCCACGGCUAACUACGUGCCAGCCGCCGCCGUAA
rnacentral:rRNA from 1 species